UGCCUCCCACAGUGCUUGGACAAAAUAAUUACAGCAAGAUGCGGGCACUGAGCUGACUCCUUAUAUAGGACAUCCCAGUGCAGCCUUAUUGCCCUGGCUAUGACUUCCAGUACUAUACUCAAUAAAAGUGGUGAGAGAGGAAGAAACACUGUGACUGAGAAGUCAUGGUGAGGCCAGGGCCUGUCACCACCACUGCUGCCACCGAACAACAGAGAAAGCUCCAGGAGUACCUAGAAGUCGAAAGGAACUUCAAGUGCCAAACACUGAGCUUUAUCUAAAAGCCAAAAAUAAUUGCCCAAAUCUAUCCAAGAGAAUGUUAUCAAUCAUGCUGUUUUGCCUGUUAAGCAUAAGGCCCAUCAGCAUUAAACUCCAGGCCAGACAAGCCA
rnacentral:lncRNA from 1 species